UACGUAGGGGGCGAGCGUUGUCCGGAUUUAUUGGGCGUAAAACGCUUGUAGGUGGCUACGUCAAGUCGGACGUGAAAUCUCCCGGCUUAACUGGGAGGGGUCGCUCGAUACUGGCGAGCUCGAGGCAGGUAGGGGGAAGCGGAAUUCCCGGUGUAGUGGUGAAAUGCGUAGAUAUCGGGAGGAACACCAGUGGCGAAGGCGGCUUCCUGGCCUGUUCUUGACGCUGAGGCGCGAAGCUAGGGGAGCAAACGGG
rnacentral:rRNA from 1 species